rnacentral:rRNA from 1 species
GGCCUAACACAUGCAAGUCGGACGGGAUUUGGGAGCUUGCUCCUAAUGAGAGUGGCGCACGGGUGCGUAACACGUAUGUAACCUACCUUAAUCUGGGGGAUAGCCUCUCGAAAGAGAGAUUAACACCGCAUAACAUUACGACAUAGCAUUUUGUUGUAAUCAAAUAUUUAUAGGAUUAAGAUGGGCAUGCGGAACAUUAGCUAGUUGGUAAGGUAACGGCUUACCAAGGCUACGAUGUUUAGGGGAUCUGAGAGGAUGACCCCCCACACUGGUACUGAGACACGGACCAGACUCCUACGGGAGGCAGCAGUAAGGAAUAUUGGUCAAUGGGCGCAAGCCUGAACCAGCCAUGCCGCGUGCAGAAAGACGGCCCUACGGGUUGUAAACUGCUUUUGUACCGGAAUAAACCCUUUUACGUGUAAGAGGCUGAAUGUACGGUAAGAAUAAGGGUCGGCUAACUCCGUGCCAGCAGCCGCGGUAAUACGGAGGAUCCAAGCGUUAUCCGGAUUUAUUGGGUUUAAAGGGUGCGUAGGCGGCCUAUUAAGUCAGGGGUGAAAGACGGUAGCUUAACUAUCGCAGUGCCUUUGAUACUGAUGGGCUUGAAUGUACUUGAGGUAGGCGGAAUGUGACAAGUAGCGGUGAAAUGCAUAGAUAUGUCACAGAACACCAAUUGCGAAGGCAGCUUACUAAAGUAUGAUUGACGCUGAGGCACGAAAGCGUGGGGAUCAAACAGGAUUAGAUACCCUGGUAGUCCACGCCCUAAACGAUGAACACUCGAUGUUGGCGAUAUACGGUCAGCGUCUAAGCGAAAGCGUUAAGUGUUCCACCUGGGGAGUACGCCCGCAAGGGUGAAACUCAAAGGAAUUGACGGGGGCCCGCACAAGCGGAGGAGCAUGUGGUUUAAU